CAUGCAAGUCGAGCGCACCUUCGGGUGAGCGGCGGACGGGUUAGUAACGCGUGGGAACGUGCCCUUCUCUAAGGAAUAGCCACUGGCAAACGGUGAGUAAUACCUUAUACGCCCUUCGGGGGAAAGAUUUAUCGGAGAAGGAUCGGCCCGCGUUAGAUUAGAUAGUUGGUGGGGUAACGGCCUACCAAGUCUACGAUCUAUAGCUGGUUUUAGAGGAUGAUCAGCAACACUGGGACUGAGACACGGCCCAGACUCCUACGGGAGGCAGCAGUGGGGAAUCUUGGACAAUGGGCGCAAGCCUGAUCCAGCCAUGCCGCGUGAGUGAAGAAGGUCUUAGGAUCGUAAAGCUCUUUCGCCAGAGAUGAUAAUGACAGUAUCUGGUAAAGAAACCCCGGCUAACUCCGUGCCAGCAGCCGCGGUAAUACGGAGGGGGUUAGCGUUGUUCGGAAUUACUGGGCGUAAAGCGCGCGUAGGCGGAUUGGAAAGUUGGGGGUGAAAUCCCGGGGCUCAACCCCGGAACUGCCUCCAAAACUCCCAGUCUUGAGUUCGAGAGAGGUGAGUGGAACUCCGAGUGUAGAGGUGAAAUUCGUAGAUAUUCGGAAGAACACCAGUGGCGAAGGCGGCUCACUGGCUCGAUACUGACGCUGAGGUGCGAAAGUGUGGGGAGCAAACAGGAUUAGAUACCCUGGUAGUCCACACC
rnacentral:rRNA from 1 species